GCAGGGAUGGCAGAACCUGGUUCAAUGCGCCGGCCUUGAGAGCCGGUGGGAGCAAUCCCAUGGGGGUUCAAAUCCCUCUCCCUGCG
rnacentral:tRNA from 1 species